rnacentral:rRNA from 1 species
AGAUUAAGUUAUUAAGGGCGCACGGUGGAUGCCUUGGCACUAGAAGCCGAUGAAGGACGUUACUAACGACGAUAUGCUUUGGGGAGCUGUAAGUAAGCUUUGAUCCAGAGAUUUCCGAAUGGGGAAACCCAGCAUGAGUUAU